GUCGAACGAGGGUCCUUCGGGACUCGAGUGGCGAACGGGUGAGUAACACGUAGGGAACCUGCCCGUGCGACCGGGAGAACUUUCGGAAACGGAAGCUGAUACCGGAUAGGGACAGAGACGGCAUCGACUCUGUGUUAAAGGAGCUGCAAGGCUCCGCGCACGGAUGGACCUGCGGUGCAUUAGCUGGUUGGUGAGGUAACGGCUCACCAAGGCGACGAUGCAUAGCCGGCCUGAGAGGGCGGACGGCCACACUGGGACUGAGACACGGCCCAGACUCCUACUAGAGGCAGCAGUAGGGAAUUUUCGUCAAUGGGCGCAAGCCUGAACGAGCAAUGCCGCGUGAACGAGGAAGGUCUUCGGAUCGUAAAGUUCUGUUGAAGGGGAAAAAGAGCGGAGAGAGGAAAUGGUCUCCGAUUGAUAUUACCCUUCGAGGAAGUCACGGCUAACUACGUGCCAGCAGCCGCGGUAAUACGUAGGUGGCGAGCGUUAUCCGGAAUGAUUGGGCGUAAAGGGUGCGUAGGCGGCCUGCUAAGUCUGGAGUGAAAGGUACCGGCUCAACCGGUACAGGCUCUGGAAACUGACGGGCUAGAGAGCAGGAGAGGGCGGUGGAACUCCAUGUGUAGCGGUAAAAUGCGUAGAUAUAUGGAAGAACACCAGUGGCGAAGGCGGCCGCCUGGCCUGUUACUGACGCUGAGGCACGAAAGCGUGGGGAGCAAAUAGGAUUAGAUACCCUAGUAGUCCACGCCGUANACGAUGAGGACCAAGUGUUGGGGAAGANCCAGUGCUGCAGUUAACGCAGUGAGUCCUCCGCCUGGGGAGUAUGCACGCAAGUGUGAAAC
rnacentral:rRNA from 1 species